rnacentral:rRNA from 1 species
AAACUUAAGGAAUUGACGGGACCGCACAAGCGGUGGAUGAUGUGGUUUAAUUCGAUGCAACGACGAAAACCUUACCCACCUUUGGCAUGUACGGAACCCUUUAGAGAUAGAGGGGUGCUCGAAAGAGAGCCGUAACACAGGUGCUGCAUGGCUGUCGUCAGCUCGUGUCGUGAGAUGUUGGGUUAAGUCCCGCAACGAGCGCAACCCUUGUCAUUAGUUGCUACAUUCAGUUGGGCACUCUAAUGAGACUGCCGGUGACAAGCCGGAGGAAGGUGGGGAUGACGUCAAGUCCUCAUGGCCCUUAUAGGUGGGGCUACACACGUCAUACAAUGGCUGGUACAAAGGGUUGCCAACCCGCGAGGGGGAGCCAAUCCCAUAAAGCCAGUCGUAGUCCGGAUCGUAGUCUGCAACUCGACUACGUGAAGUCGGAAUCGCUAGUAAUCGUGGAUCAGAAUGUCACGGUGAAUACGUUCCCGGGUCUU